GGCUAAUGCUAAUUGUGAAACACCUCAGAAAACUCCAAAGUGUGACGGAUCAAAAUUUUAGAAGCCUUUCGCAUGAGACCCGAGACCGAACUGUCAACGGUUUGGUACUCCAAAGCGGAGAACAUUCUUCGCUCCAAUCCAUGAGCUUUCCCAAAAACAGAACCUCACACACCAAAAAAACAAAUGAUGCAAGCUCCCUCUAACCAAGUUCAUUAUUCAAAGUUAGCAGUAUAGAGCAAGAUAGAACCAUUCACCACCACAUCAUAAGUCAUGG